rnacentral:rRNA from 1 species
CAGCCGCCGCGGUAAUACGGAGGGUGCAAGCGUUAAUCGGAAUUACUGGGCGUAAAGCGCACGCAGGCGGUCUGACAAGUCAGAUGUGAAAUCCCCGGGCUUAACCUGGGAACUGCAUUUGAAACUGUCAGGCUGGAGUCUUGUAGAGGGGGGUAGAAUUCCAGGUGUAGCGGUGAAAUGCGUAGAGAUCUGGAGGAAUACCGGUGGCGGAGGCGGCCCCCUGGACAAAGACUGACGCUCAGGUGCGAAAGCGUGGGGAGCAAACAGGAUUAGAUACCCCUGUAGUCCCUGUCUCUUAUAC